rnacentral:tmRNA from 1 species
GGAUGCGUGGUUUCGACAGGGCAGGAGAGCGAUCAGCUGCGAGCCGGGGUUGCCGUUCACUCCGUGAACCGAGCGGCAGGCAGAUAACUGCCACAAACUCUUACGCCCUCGCUGCCUAAGCAGUGAGCGUCCCGCCGGACCAGCCUCCGCGGACCGGUGAGGACGAGAAAGCGGAGGUGCGGCCCGCCGACGAUCGGUGAGCGGGCCAAAGACAGCCGAUCUGGCGGGACCGUGGGCGUGUCGGUGCGCGUUCGGGGCCGCGAGAUAUUCAAGUUCGCCGAACAGGCUUCGUAGACGCGGAUCGUUCGAUCGCUUUGGACGGGGAGUUCGACCCUCCCCCAUCU